rnacentral:rRNA from 1 species
AUUGAACGCUGGCGGCAGGCCUAACACAUGCAAGUCGAGCGGUAGCACAGAGAGCUUGCUCUCGGGUGACGAGCGGCGGACGGGUGAGUAAUGUCUGGGAAACUGCCUGAUGGAGGGGGAUAACUACUGGAAACGGUAGCUAAUACCGCAUAACGUCGCAAGACCAAAGUGGGGGACCUUCGGGCCUCAUGCCAUCAGAUGUGCCCAGAUGGGAUUAGCUAGUAGGUGGGGUAACGGCUCACCUAGGCGACGAUCCCUAGCUGGUCUGAGAGGAUGACCAGCCACACUGGAAGUGAGACACGGUCCAGACUCCCACGGGAGGCAGCAGUGGGGAAUAUUGCACAAUGGGCGCAAGCCUGAUGCAGCCAUGCCGCGUGUGUGAAGAAGGCCUUCGGGUUGUAAAGCACUUUCAGCGGGGGGGAAGGCGGUGAGGUUAAUAACCUCACCGAUUGACGUUACCCGCAGAAGAAGCACCGGCUAACUCCGUGCCAGCCGCCGCGGUAA